CCGCGAGUGAUGAAAUUGGGUAGCACAUAUCGGACUUAAAAUCCGAGGACUGUAAUGGUCGUGUGGGUUCGAGUCCCACCUCGCGGA
rnacentral:tRNA from 1 species